UGCAAGUCGAACGGUAACAUUUCUAGCUUGCUAGAAGAUGACGAGUGGCGGACGGGUGAGUAAUGCUUGGGAACUUGCCUUUGCGAGGGGGAUAACAGUUGGAAACGACUGCUAAUACCGCAUAAUGUCUUCGGACCAAACGGGGCUUCGGCUCCGGCGCAAAGAGAGGCCCAAGUGAGAUUAGCUAGUUGGUAAGGUAACGGCUUACCAAGGCGACGAUCUCUAGCUGUUCUGAGAGGAAGAUCAGCCACACUGGGACUGAGACACGGCCCAGACUCCUACGGGAGGCAGCAGUGGGGAAUAUUGCACAAUGGGGGAAACCCUGAUGCAGCCAUGCCGCGUGUGUGAAGAAGGCCUUCGGGUUGUAAAGCACUUUCAGUUGUGAGGAAAAGUUAGUAGCUAAUACCUGCUA
rnacentral:rRNA from 1 species